rnacentral:rRNA from 1 species
GGGGAAUUUUGGACAAUGGGCGCAAGCCUGAUCCAGCCAUGCCGCGUGAGUGAAGAAGGCCUUCGGGUUGUAAAGCUCUUUCGGCGGGGACGCAAUGGUUCGUGCUACUACCACGGACUGAUGACGGUAACCACAGAAGAAGCCCCGGCUAACUUCGUGCCAGCAGCCGCGGUAAGACGAAGGGGGCUAGCGUUGUUCGGAAUUACUGGGCGUAAAGCGCACGUAGGCGGCCUUUCAAGUCAGAUGUGAAAGCCCCGGGCUUAACCCGGGAAAUGCAUUUGUUACUGUUGGGCUAGAGACCGGGAGAGGAUAGCGGAAUUCCCAGUGUAGAGGUGAAAUUCGUAGAUAUUGGGAAGAACACCAGUGGCGAAGGCGGCUAUCUGGACCGGUACUGACGCUGAGGUGCGAAAGCGUGGGGAGCAAA